UUUCCCCUGCUGUGUUCGACAAGACCAUUUAUUCCUUGAACCAAUAUUUUGGCAUUGAGGUUGCUGAGCGUAGCGUCGCUGUUGUGCCUGUUCCAAGACGAACAAGCCUGAUGCGGCCGGGAGGCGACCGACUUGAACCUCAGGUUCAGGAUGCCGGUCUUGACGGCAUUUGCGGGGGUCCC
rnacentral:other from 1 species